UACAGAGGGUGCAAGCGUUGUUCGGAAUUAUUGGGCGUAAAGGGCGCGUAGGCGGUGCGGUAAGUCUUUUGUGAAAUCUCCGGGCUCAACUCGGAGUCUGCAGGAGAAACUGCCGUGCUUGAGUGUGGGAGAGGUGAGUGGAAUUCCCGGUGUAGCGGUGAAAUGCGUAGAUAUCAGGAGGAACACCGGUGGUGUAGACGGCUCACUGGACCAUAACUGACGCUGAGACACGAAAGCGUGGGUAGCAAACAGG
rnacentral:rRNA from 1 species